rnacentral:tRNA from 14 species
CUUUCUGGUGGUGAGUGCAGGCUUCAAAAUUUUAG